UACAGAGGUCCCAAGCGUUACUGAGAUUCACUGGGUUUAAAGGGUGCGUAGGUGGCGCGUUAAGUCUGUUGUGAAAUCCCCGGGCUCCAACCCGGGAACUUGUCUUCGGAGUACUGGCGCGCUUGAGGCCGGUAUGGGUUACUGGAACUGACGGUGGAGCGGUGAAAUGCGUAGAUAUCGUCAGGAACGCCAGUGGUGAAGACGGGUAACUGGGCCGGUUCUGACACUGAGGCACGAAAGCGUGGGGAGCGAACGGG
rnacentral:rRNA from 1 species